AAGGAUUUAAGUUAAAAAUUAAACUCGUAGUCUUCAAAACUUCAAAUAAAGAAUAAUCCCUCUUUAAGCCUUA
rnacentral:tRNA from 1 species